UACGUAGGGUCCGAGCGUUGUCCGGAAUUACUGGGCGUAAAGAGCUCGUAGGUGGUUUGUCGCGUUGUUCGUGAAAACUCACAACUCAAUUGUGGGCGUGCGGGCGAUACGGGCAGACUGGAGUACUGCAGGGGAGACUGGAAUUCCUGGUGUAGCGGCGGAAUGCGCAGAUAUCAGGAGGAACACCGGUGGCGAAGGCGGGUCUCUGGGCAGUAACUGACGCUGAGGAGCGAAAGCGUGGGGAGCGAACAGG
rnacentral:rRNA from 1 species